GGACCCUUAGCUCAGCAGGUCAGAGCGUCCGGCUCAUAACCGGUCGGUCGCAGGUUCGAUUCCUGCAUGGUCCA
rnacentral:tRNA from 1 species